GACGAACGCUGGCGGCGUGCCUAACACAUGCAAGUCGAACGGAGACUUUACGAACGAGAAUUUCGGUUCAAGUUUGUGAUGUUCUUAGUGGCGGACGGGUGAGUAACGCGUGAGCAAUCUGCCUUUCAGAGGGGGAUAACACUCUGAAAAGAGUGCUAAUACCGCAUAACGUGUUUUGUAGGCAUCUACGGAACACCAAAGGAGUAAUCCGCUGAAAGAUGGCUUCGCGUCUGAUUAGCUAGUUGGCGGGGUAACGGCCCACCAAGGCGACGAUCAGUAGCCGGUCUGAGAGGAUGAACGGCCACAUUGGGACUGAGAUACGGCCCAGACUCCUACGGGAGGCAGCAGUGGGGAAUAUUGGGCAAUGGGGGAAACCCUGACCCAGCAACGCCGCGUGAAGGAGAAGGCUUUCGGGUUGUAGGACUUCGUUUUACCAGGGACGAAGAACGUGACGGUACCUGGAGAAAAAGCAACGGGCUAACUACGUG
rnacentral:rRNA from 1 species